rnacentral:rRNA from 1 species
UACAGCGGGAAGCCAGGCGGCGACGCCGAGCGGAACCCGAAAACCUGUCUCAGUUCGGAUCGGAGUCUGCAACCCGACUCCGUGAAGCUGGAUUCGCUAGUAAUCGCGCAUCAGCCAUGGCGCGGUGAAUACGUUCCCGGGCCUUGUACACACCGCCCGUCAAGCCAUGGAAGCCGGGGGGUGCCUGAAGUGUGCAGCCGCAAGGAGCGCCCUAAGGUAAAACCGGUGACUGGGGCUAAGUCGUAACAAGGUACC